rnacentral:rRNA from 1 species
GAAAGGCAAAAUGAGGGCCUAACUGUCUCUUAUAAUGAAUCAAUUAAACUGAUCUUCUAGUAAAAAAGCUAGGAUUCCCACAUAAGACCAGAAGACCCUGUGAAGCUUAAACUAAACUAUUAAACCAUAUAAUAACUACUUUCGGUUGGGGCGACCUUGGAAAAAAAAAGAACUUCCAACAAUAAUGAUUAUCCAUACCACCCUAGGCUCACAAGCCAGUUAAACGACCCAGCAUAGCUGAUCACCGAAAAGUUACUCCAGGGAUAACAGCGCAAUCCUCUUCAAGAGCCCAUAUCAAAAAGAGGGUUUACGACCUCGAUGUUGGAUCAGGACAUCCUAAUGGUGCAGCCGCUAUUAAGGG